GCGACAGGACAGGACGGGACAGAGCAGUGCUGUGAGGAGUCCUCGCACAGCGCACUCGUUCGUGUCUGACCCAGAGAUUUCUGAGGCGUUACUCCUGCAGCUGACCUCAAGGCCAGACCACAGGACUUGCUGACCUGUGGCCUUCCUGAGGCUUCUCUUCUGCAGGUGCCCUGGAGGGCAGAGCAAGGGACUUGGUGCCCUGGAGGCAUCUCCCAUCCCUUCCACCAGUGCCCUUGAGGCAAGAGCACAAUCCUUGACAGGAGUCUCCUGUCCUUGUGGCAGGAGCCCUCGAGACCAGAGAGAAGGACUUGCUGUCCUGUAGCCUUCCUCAGGCUUCUCUCUUGAAGGUGCCUUGCAGGCACGAAAGCAGGACUUGCUGACUCGGAGCUUUUCCGAGGCAUCUCUCCUGCAAGUAGCUAUAGAUCCAGUCACUGACAUGCAGCAGAAACCCCUAAGAGUGCCCAAGCUGGCCGGGGUGGAGGAAGAGGACAAAGGCCCUGGAGCUGCCUCAGGGCAUGAGACUGAAGAGGUGGUGCCAUUCAAGCAGCUGCAGGAGGAUGCAGCCCUGGAGCGGACACAAGAACAGGAACCCGCCCGUGGCCACUUCCGCAGAACAGCGCAGACCAUCCGUCAAUUCAUCACGUGCAUUUGGCAGGAAGAGAGCACAGGUGUGGGCACCGGGAUCUUGGCAAGCUUUCACCUCUUCAGUGCCGAGACCAGUGCUGCCAUGCUGGAUUUGCUGGUGGAGAAGGGUGUCUCCAAUGCAAAGCAAGUGCCAGCCAUGGUGAGGUACAUCCACCGGUGGCUCACGGCCAACGAGUCUGCUGAGCACAGGCUGGACAAGGCCCUUCUGGAGCUGACCAAGGAAUACCCCUCUGACGUGCUGAUCACUCUCUUGCGCUGGGCCCCAUCGUGUGACAGAGCUGCCGUGACCAUGUGGGGGACCAUCAUGUCCUCGAGCAGGACCGCCGAGCCGGCGCUGCAGAUCCUCCUCGAUGUGCUGAGCGCCUGGCCAGAGGACAGCGUGUACACCUCCGAUGGGGACAGCACAGGGGUCUUUGCCCUGGCUGCAACAGUAACAAUGUGGAGGGUCUUCAAUCUGACCUGGUGCCCACCUGUAGUGCAGGUAUAUUUCCCCAAACUCCUUCUGCGUCUGCUCUUCCAAGCUUACAUCAGCACGCUGGAUAUGCCAGAAGAGGUGGAUACCUUCUGGAAGAGAUGCCAGGAGCAACACGACCUUGCUGCCCACCCCAACAGCUUUGCACUGCAGACCCUGAAGGCCCUGCUCUGCCAAAUGCAGUACGAUGACGUGGUGGUAGCAAUGGAACGCAGGUGUGCCUGGAACAUGCUGCUCUGUGCCCACACCCACCACUAUGCAGUGGGUCUGCUGGCCAGGGAGAUGCGCCGUGUCUCCAUCAUCUGGCGCUGCAGGAUCGCAUCCUGCCUCUUUGACCUACUCAGCCAAGACAUUUCAGACUGGGAACUGCCCGCCCUGACGUUCCUGGUGGAGGUCCUGGACUGCCUGGACUUGAGUGAAUGCGGUGAAAAGGUCCUGCAGAUCAUGACAAGGCACCUGAAGAGACGGUCCAGAGAGAUGCGUCGCGUGGCACUCAGAGGCCUCGUGGUGCUCAGCCAGGACCCCUCGAUGAACCAAAGAAUGUACAGCCUGACUGAAAGCCUUGGCAACCUCCUGCGGGCCGUGGAUGAAGACAUUGUUGAGAUGACCCUCGUUGUUCUCAGCUCUCUGCUCUUCAACAAAGAGAUAGCAAUAGCCAGCCCCAUCGCCCUGCAGCUGGCUGAGGCGCUCUGGCAACUCUUCGACAAUGACAACAGCCUUGUGAAGCUGCUCUCCGUUCGCCUCUUCCAAGAGGUGAUGAACUUGGUGGUGGCCAAGGGAAAAAAGCCCCUGAAGAAGCAUGUGAGGCAGAGCCUGCUCCCACUCUUCUUCAACUGCCACGAUGAGAACUGGGGUGUGGCACAGGCCUCUUGGGAAACGCUGCUUUCUGCAGUAAGGUUCCUGAAGAGAAGGGAUCUUCAGCACCUGGUGAACACAGAUCAGAUGUGGAGCUUUGCUGAGCGCUUGAGAAUGUUCCGUUUCCCCUGACGGUUAAAGAGACCAUCUUUUUGGUGUUUAAUCUGCCUGGGACUUCCCAUGUGAACAAAUUCAGAAUCCAGCUGAGGUGGCGAAAUACCUGAAAGAAAAGUGCUAUGAUAACUCGAAGGAGAAAAAGAUCAUUGCAGUGAGCUGGGCCCUGGCAUAUGCUUAUCGCACCCUGCUAGAUACUGUAGGACAGCAGACAGAGGAAGCAGGGCAGGGAGAUAAAUCAGCAGCUAUCCCAGUCACUCAGGCUGCAGCCAACACCCCAGGCUCGAAGCUAGCAGCUAAACCAGACAGUGAGCCUAAGCUAGCAGCUAAACUAGACUGUAAGCCUCAACCAAUGGCUGUUGCUACUAGCACAAGAAGUGGAAAGUGCACAGAAAAGACUGGUCGACCAGUUGAUGACGAUGAUGAUAAUAAUGCAGGAGAAGGACCCUCAAUGCCUGCUGACAUAAAAUCAGGAGUCAAAGCAACUGGUACAAGAUCAGAGGCCAAUAUUGAGUCCUUUUCCCUAAGGGAACUUUAUGGCCUAAGAAAGGAUUACACUCGACAACCUGAUGAAUCUGUAAUUAGUUGGUUGGUCCAUCUUUGGGAUGCUGCAGGUGAGGCUACAAUUCUGGAUGGCACUGAAGCAAGACCUUUGGGAUCCCUGUCACAUGAUCCUGUCAUUGACCAAGGAAUGAUGAGGGGGGGUAACUCUCACAGCCUCCAGGGCACGCGUUCUGGAAAGUGUAGCACAAAGAUACCUGUGUGCAGAUGAUCUUUAUAUGCAGCAGACUCAGUGGAAGACUACAGAACAAGGGAUCCAACACCUGAGAGAAAUCGCAGUGGCAGAGAUUAACUUCUCAGAUGAAAUAACAACUACGAAUCCAGACUUGGUACCAUGUACAUCAGUGAUGUGGCAAAGACUUGUAUGGCUUGGGCCACAUGAAUAUGCUUCUGCUUUAGCAAUAAUGAAGCAGGAUGAGAGGGAAGAGACCAUGCUCGAUAUGGCAAAGAAGCUCUGAGCAUAUGCAGAUGCCGUACAUGGCCCAACACAUGCCAGAAUUGCAGCAGUGGAAACACGUCUGCAGAAAUUAGAAGACAAGUUAGAGUAGAAUCAUAGGAGACUCAGGGAGGAGAUUUAAGAGGACCUUCUCCAAAUCUCGGCAGUACAGAUCAGAGGUUCUGGUAUCCAACACAGACAUUCCUCAGAUGGGGAGAGAAGCUACCCCCCACGAGCUGAGCUGUGAUUCUUCCUGCACAAUUACGGAGAAAGCAUGAGGAGACGGGACGGAAAAUCUACUGCUGCUCUGGAACAACAGGUGCAUGAAUUGAAGGAAGGCAAGACUCUGAGAGGAAGUUCCACCAAAAGGAGAGCAGCUCCAGUUGCCUGUAGCCAAACUGCCAUGUAUGAUGAUGAUGAUGAUGAUGAUGAUGAUGAUGAUGAUGAUGAUGAUGAUGAUGAUAUGUCCGAUGCCCUUGAAGGAACCUCUAAGACACAUACGAAAGAAGGAUAAACAGUUUUAGAGGGGCCCUGCCUCUAGCCAAGUAGAGAUAAGGGAAAACCGUGUUUUCUGGACUGUGUGGAUUUGAUGGCCUGGCACAUCGUAACCACAAGGAUAUAAGGCUUUGAUUGAUACUGGUGCACAAUGCACGUUAAUUCCAUCGAGACACAUAGGGGCAGAAUCUGUCUCUGUCACUGGUGGGACAGGUGGAUGACAGGACUUUCCCUUGGUGGAAUCUGAUGCAAGUCUGAUGGGAAAUGAGUGGAAGAAACAGCCUAUUGUGACUGGCCCAGAGGCCCCAUGCAUUUUGGGCCUAGAUGACCUCCGAAGGGGGUAUUUGAAAGACCCAAAAAGACACUCAGGUGGGCAUUUGGGAUAGCAGCUGUAGUGACAGAGGGCAUCCGGCAAUUGAACACCUUGCCUGGAGUGUCUGAGAAUCCAUCUAGAGUAGGACUUCUGAAGGGAGAAGAGCAACAGGAACCAACUGUCACUUCAACAGUGCAUCGCUGACAGUAUAGAACAACUGGAGAUGCUGUGGUUCCCAACCACAAGAUGAUCUGAGAGAUGGAGAGGCAAGGGGUGGUCAUCAAAACCCACUCACCAUUCAACAGCCCCAUUUGGCCUGUGCGUAAAUCUGAAGGAGAAUGGAGAUUGACAGUAGACUACCGUGCAUUGAAUGAAGUAACUCCACCAUUGAGCGCUGCUGUGCCAGACAUGCUGGAACUCCAGUACUAGUUGAAGUCCAAGGCAGCGAAGUGGUAGGCCACUAUUGAUAUUGCCACUACAUUUUUCUCCAUUCCUCUGGCAGCAGAAUGCAGGCCUCAGUUUGCCUUUAGGUGGAGGGGAGUGCAGUAUACCUGGAACAGACUGCCCCAGGGGUGGAAGCACAGUCCUGCCAUCUGCCAUGGACUGAUCCAGACUGCACUAGAAAAGGGUGAGGCUCCAGAAAAUGUACAAUAGUAGUUUUCUUCUUCUGGUGAAAAACAAAAAAAAGGCAGAAAUUGUACAGUGCAGGUGUAUUAUUUCACUUCCUGAGAAGCUGAGUAGGUUUGCUACUGCCAGUGGUUUUCAUUAGGAAAGAAGAGAUUCCUUUAGAGAAAAAAAACUUCCAAUUGUCUUUAUAUCAAUGUUAUGGUGCUUAAUUUCACCAAUCAUGAAGAGAAAUUCUCAUCACUUGACAUGGAAAUCAUGAUGGUCAUGGAGACAAGGAUGUCUAGGUCAUGCAUCAGGAACAUCAAAAAGCAUUUGAAUGCAGGUAAGACUGAACUCCUAUACUAGUGAGAAGAGAAUGCAACAAAGACAUUGUCCUUGUAGAGUCUUCAGGAUUAACAGUAGAUCAAUUUUUUCAUGUGAAGUGUUUAUGAAUAGAGUUAACCUU
rnacentral:lncRNA from 1 species